AAUAAUCACCACCAAUUAAAAUUUAUGUAGCAUUUAUUUCAAAAGGAGAAUAAAUCCAACACUAUUUUAUGAAGAAGUGUAACGUGGGGAAAAAAGAGAAAUUUGAAGAAAACGAGUCUGGGUUAGAGUCUCAGCUCUCCCACAUACUAAGCUGUGUGCGUGUGGGCAAGGUACUUCACCUCUUUCAGCUUCAAUUCAUACGCAAAAUAGCGAUAGCAUUUAUUGCAGAUGAUUGCUGUGAGAAUACCCUAAAAAUGCAUAGCAUUUUUCUUUAGAAAUGCUUUCUUCCUGGAUCCCUUGAAGUGUCUUAAAAUUUCCUAACGCAGGCUCUAGGCCAUCUGUGCUCUUAGAACCAGGAAAGGUACAGUUAGAUGCGCAGACUCCUACACAGUGCCCUUUACCUACAACAGAGGAAUGCAAAUAGAGCCCCACCAGGGGUUCUGAGAACUUACCCAAAGCUAGUUGGGAGUCCUACUCUUGCCUUCUCUGAAAGACUCAAGAGUUAGAAAAGGAGCCACAUCCCCAAACCGAAAGUCACCGCACUUGAGGAUGUAAUAUUUUUCUUUGGUGGGGUAAACAAAUCCAUAGUCAUUCCUGCUUUUCUCCCCGCCUUUCCCGUACGUCCUCCGAAUCUGGAAAACCCACACCUGCCAUCCUGUCACUGCUUCAUUCUCAGCUCUGGCUCCAAGCCUAGAAUCAGGUUACAGCGUAGUCCAAAGACUAAAAGAGCAGCAACUUCCCAGACUUUACCAGCCACAAGUCUCAAAGCAAAAAUACCGGGUUCCGUCUACUGCGCAUGUGUGAUAGUAACUGCCCACCUAGAGUUCCCGAUCUCCUCCAGGGUGAAGGCCUUUCAUCAAAGACCGCAUUUCCCACAAGGCUCCUUUCCGGAAAACGUCAGAUGCUUCUUCUUAGGAACCUCUUUUACAGGGGGUUCCCAAGUUAGUAUCUCUGGGGCUGGCCUGAGAGACGCGCUUAUGUUUAAGAAGGUCCAGCAAAAGGGGGUAGGAGGAAAAGGUGCUUUAGCAGCGUGGUGGCGCCCCGCUGGCGACUUGCCGUUGCCGCUGGUUGUCUGGAAAGCGGCAAGCAAUCGCCAUGACCUUAAGGGGAGAGCCCAGGAAGUGGUAGUGUGGAAUUCCAGAUCUGCUCUGCAAAAAGAGCCUUACGUUCCGAGAGCUGGGUAGCUGGGACAGCCAACAGCAAGGAGCCAGGGGCACGGGAGGUUAGUUAUGUAGGCAGUGCUGAUCGGGUUUGGGGGUGGCUGGUGAGCAUUGCGUGAGAGAUCUUGGUUUGGAGUCUUCUACUGUCUUGCCCCAGUUGGGUAGAAUCACGCUCCGCGCCUUUGUACAAGAAACGGCGUCUCCGGGGGCAAGGAAGGAGCCAGGAUGGCCUGGGCUCUGAAGCUUCCUCUGGCGGAUGAAGUGAUUGAAUCCGGGCUGGUGCAGGACUUUGAUGCUAGCCUGUCCGGGAUCGGCCAGGAACUGGGUGCUGGUGCCUAUAGCAUGAGUGAUGUCCUCGCAUUGCCCAUUUUUAAGCAAGAAGAGUAAAGUUUGCCUCCUGAUAAUGAGAACAAAAUUCUACCUUUUCAGUACGUGAUUUGUGCUGCCACCUCUCCAGCAGUGAAACUCCAUGAUGAGACCCUAACAUAUCUCAAAGACAGUCUUAUGAAAUUCGAAUGCUAGACAAUAGGAAACUUGGAGAACUUCCAGAAAUUAAUGGGAAAUUGUCAUAUAGUAUUCCAUAACAGAAGGCUACAAUACACUGAGCAUCAGCAGCUGGAGGGCUGGAGGUGGAAACGAUCUGGAGAUAGAAUUCUUGAUAGAGAUAUUCCAAUAUCUGUGGGGAUAAUUGAUCCUAGGGCUAAUGCAACCCAACUAAAUACAGUAGAGUUCCUGUGGGACCCUGCAAAGAGAACAUCUGUGUUUAUUCAGGUGCACUGUAUUAGCACAAGAGUUCACCUUGAAGAAACGCGGUGGAGAAAAGGGGGUGCCAUUUUGAGUACAAAUUGAUACUUUCAAGGAGAAUGAGAAUGGAGAAUAUACUGAGCGCUUACACUCAGCUAGUGCCAGAUCAAAGUUUUUAAACCCAAAGGUGCAGACAGAAAGCAAAAAACAGACAGGGGAAAAAUGGAGAAACAUACACCUCAUGAAAAGGAAAAGUAUCAACCUUCCUAUGAGACCACCAUACUCACAGAGUGUUCUCCAUGGCCUGAGAUCACUUACCUCAAUAAUUCCCCAUCACCUGGCUUCAACAGUUCCCAUAGCAGUUUUUCUCUUGGGGAAGGAAAUGGUUCACCAAACUACCAGCCAGAGCCACCCCCUCCAGUCACAGAUAACCUCUUGCCAAUAACCACACCUCAGGAAGCUCAGCAGUGAUUGCGCCGAAACUGUUUUUCUACAUUCACAAGGCUUUUCACAAACUUCUCAGGGGCAGAUUUACUGAAAUUAACUAGAGAUUAUGUGAUCCAAAUCUGUGGCCCUGCAGAUGAAAUCAGAUUUUUUAAUGCAUUAAAAGGCCGGAUGGUGCGUCCAAGGUUAACCAUUUAUGUUUGUCAGGAAUCGCUGCAGUUGAGCGAGCAGCAGCAGCAGCAGCAGCAGCAACAACAGAUGCACAAGGAUGGGGACUCAAAUGGUACCUUCUUCGUGUACCAUGCCAUCUAUCUAGAAGAACUUACAGCUGUUGAAUUGACGGAAAAAAUUGCUUACUUUUCAGCAUUUCCCCUUGCCAGAUCAGCCAGAUUUACAAGCAGGGAUCAAUAGGAAUCCAUGUGCUCAUCAGUGAUGAGAUGAUUCAGAAUUUUCAGGAAGAAGCCUGUUUUAUUCUGGACACAACAAAAGAAACCAAUGAUAGCUAUCAUAUCAUACUGAAGUAGGAGUGGGGCAUUCCGUGCUCGGUGGCUGCUGCUUCCUUCACCUCUUGAAAAUGGCCCUCUUGAAGGGGGCCGUGAAUGGAGACUGGAAGGUUUGCAGGAACCUGACCCAUCAGACUGUGUGUGGGGGGAGUUCCAGCUGCGGAGGCAGGAUCCCAAGCCUGCUGUGUUAGCACACACUCUCGUGGUGCACACAGCUUACUGCCUAACAUGCAGUUCUGCAGAUAUUUCUUAGUUAAAAUUUCCAAACCCUGUUGUUGUUGAACAUCAAUAGAAACUCCACCUCAGUUAGGGUGAAUGUAGGGCAUAAUAAUGGUGGGAAUUGUGUGAUAUUUGUUAGAAAGAUUUAAAUUUUGUGAUAUGGAGCCAUGUAAUUGUUUUCUAAUAUAAAAAUAAGCAUCUAUAUUCAUAA